rnacentral:rRNA from 1 species
AUAUUGUGGUGAAGUGGAUGAUCCUAUGCUGCCGAGAAAAGCCUCUAGUGAGUGUUGUGGCGGCCCGUACCCUAAACCGACUCAGGUGGUCAGGUAGAGAAUACCAAGGCGAUCGGGUGAACUGUGGUUAAGGAACUCGGCAAAUUGCCCCCGUAACUUCGGGAGAAGGGGGACCUCUGCUGGUGAUGGGCUUUACGUUCUGAGCUGGUGGGGGUCGCAGUGGCCAGGGGGAAGCGACUGUUUACUAAAAACACAGGUCCGUGCGAAGUCGUAAGACGAUGUAUACGGACUGACGCCUGCCCGGUGCCGGAACGUUAAGGGGACCGCUUAGCCAGCUUCGGUUGGCGAAGGUGAGAACUUAAGCGCCGGUAAACGGCGGUGGUAACUAUAACCAUCCUAAGGUAGCGAAAUUCCUUGUCGGGUAAGUUCCGACCUGCACGAAUGGCGUAACGACUUCCCCGCUGUCUCAACCACAGACCCGGCGAAAUUGCACUACGAGUAAAGAUGCUCGUUUCGCGCAGCAGGACGGAAAGACCCCGGGACCUUCACUACAGCUUGACAUUGGCGUUUGGAACGUCUUGUGUAGGAUAGGUGGGAGACUAGGAAGCUGUCACGCUAGUGAUGGUGGAGUCAUUGGUGAAAUACCACUCUGGUCGUUUUGAACGUCUAACUCUGGUCCGUGAUCCGGAUCGGGGACAGUGUCUGGUGGGUAGUUUAACUGGGGCGGUUGCCUCCUAAAGAGUAACGGAGGCGCCCAAAGGUUCCCUCAGCCUGGUUGGCAAUCAGGUGUUGAGUGUAAGUGCACAAGGGAGCUUGACUGUGAGACUGACAGGUCGAGCAGGAGCGAAAGCUGGGACUAGUGAUCCGGCAUCGGCGUGUGGAAGCGGUGUCGCUCAACGGCUAAAAGGUACCCCGGGGAUAACAGGCUGAUCUUCCCCAAGAGUCCAUAUCGACGGGAUGGUUUGGCACCUCGAUGUCGGCUCGUCGCAUCCUGGGGCUGGAGUAGUCCCAAGGGUUGGGCUGUUCGCCCAUUAAAGCGGUACGCGAGCUGGGUUUAGAACGUCGCGAGACAGUUCGGUCCCUAUCCGCUGCGCGCGCAGGAGACUUGAAGGGGGCUGUCCCUAGUACGAGAGGACCGGGACGGACGAACCUCUGGUGUGCCAGUUGUACCGCCAGGUGCACGGCUGGUGCUACGUUCGGAAGGGAUAACCGCUGAAAGCAUCUAAGCGGGAAGCUCGCCUUGAGAUGAGGUCUCCCACCCUGUGAGGGGGUAAGGCUCCCGGUAGAUCACCGGGUUGAUAGGCCGGAGGUGGAAGCACGGUAACGUGUGGAGCUGACCGGUACUAAUAGGCCGAGGACUUGACCG